GGAUUGUGGCUUAGCAGUAGAGCGCUUGCCUAGCACAUGCAAUGUACUGGGUUCGAUCCUCAGCACCA
rnacentral:tRNA from 1 species